rnacentral:lncRNA from 1 species
AAAAGAGUUGGAUAGGAACAAAAGUGGAGAGAAUUCAUUGUUUCCGUGAUAGCAAACAGAAGACAUUUCCAUCUAUUUGACCUCAACACCGCUGCAACACUGAAGUUUGACAAGGCGGGCGUUUAACAUCGUUCUUCACUACUUCGUUCACUCUUUCUCUCUCAAACAAAUCGAGCCCAAACUCUUCGCUUGGUUUAUGCGGAAUCGUCGCCGCUGAAUAGAGCCCUAGCUCUCCCAUCAAAAUCGAUGUUGCCGCGCCGCUGCAACUGGAAGGCCGGUGAGAUUCGCCGCUGCUUUCGACCUUGCUCACUCUUACCGAUUGAAGAAACGACGAGAAGCGGUGGUGAAGGCAGUGGCCGUGCCACUCGGCGGCGGCGCCGUUUAACGUCGGCGGAGACAGCAGGUGCUGAGAGAGGGGGUCGAUCGAGAGAGAGAAAGAGAGAGAAGAGAGAGGACGUGUGGGUAGAGAGAGAGAAGAGAGAGUGAGAAAUGAGAGAAUGAAAGGAAAUUAGGGUUUGCCCAUUUAUAUAGAAGGGUAAUUUAGUCCAUUCAAUAAAAAAGUGGGUAAAAUUUUAAGUUUUAUUUUGAGUGGGUAAAAUUUAUUUUUGUUAUAAGAAAGUGGGU